rnacentral:rRNA from 1 species
GAUGAACGCUGGCGGCGUGCUUAACACAUGCAAGUCGAACGGAAAGGCCCAAGCUUGCUUGGGUACUCGAGUGGCGAACGGGUGAGUAACACGUGGGUGAUCUGCCCUGCACUUCGGGAUAAGCCUGGGAAACUGGGUCUAAUACCGGAUAGGACGAUGGUUUGGAUGCCAUUGUGGAAAGUUUUUUCGGUGUGGGAUGAGCUCGCGGCCUAUCAGCUUGUUGGUGGGGUAAUGGCCUACCAAGGCGUCGACGGGUAGCCGGCCUGAGAGGGUGUACGGCCACAUUGGGACUGAGAUACGGCCCAGACUCCUACGGGAGGCAGCAGCGGGGAAUAUUGCACAAUGGGCGCAAGCCUGAUGCAGCGACGCCGCGUGGGGGAUGACGGCCUUCGGGUUGUAAACUCCUUUCGCUAGGGACGAAGCGUUUUUGUGACGGUACCUGGAGAAGAAGCACCGGCUAACUACGUG